UACGUAGGGGGCAAGCGUUGUCCGGAAUCAUUGGGCGUAAAGAGUGUGUAGGCGGCCCGGUAAGUCCGCUGUGAAAGUCCAGGGCUCAACCCUGGGAUGCCGGUGGAUACUGUCGGGCUCGAGUCCGGAAGAGGCGAGUGGAAUUCCUGGUGUAGCGGUGAAAUGCGCAGAUAUCAGGAGGAGCACCAAUGGCGAAGGCAGCUCGCUGGGACGUGACUGACGCUGAGACGCGAAAGCGUGGGGAGCAAACAGG
rnacentral:rRNA from 1 species